GACGAACGCUGGCGGCGUGCUUAACACAUGCAAGUCGAACGGAAAGGCCCCCUUGUGGGGUACUCGAGUGGCGAACGGGUGAGUAACGCGUGAGUAACCUACCCUUGACUUUGGGAUAACUUCAGGAAACUGGGGCUAAUACCGGAUAGGAGCUCCUGCUGCAUGGUGGGGGUUGGAAAGUUUGGGCGGUUGGGGUUGGACUGGCGGCUUAUCAGCUUGUUGGUGGGGUAGUGGCUCACAAGGCUUUGACGGGUAGCCGGCCUGAGGGGGUGACCGGCCACAUUGGGACUGAGAUACGGCCCAGACUCCUACGGGAGGCAGCAGUGGGGAAUAUUGCACAAUGGGGGGAAGCCUGAUGCAGCAACGCCGCGUGCGGGAUGACGGCCUUCGGGUUGUAAACCGCUUUCGCCUGUGACGAAGCGUGAGUGACGGUAAUGGGUAAAGAAGCACCGGCUAACUACG
rnacentral:rRNA from 1 species